rnacentral:lncRNA from 1 species
GUGAAGCUUAACAUUUGGAGAGAAGUGUUGGAAUCUAAAGGUCUUCGCUUAAGCCGAUCAAAGACAAAAUAUAUGGAGUGCAAGUUCAGUGCAAAUGGAGGCCAAAAUGAGUUAGGGGUGAGGAUUGGAGAUCAGGAAAUACCAAAGAGCGACCGUUUUCGCUACCUAGGAUCUAUCUUGCAAAAGAACGGAGAAUUAUAUGGAGAUCUCAACCAUAGAAUACAAGCUGGAUGGAUGAAGUGGAAGAGUGCAUCCGGCGUGUUGUGUGACCGUUGUAUGCCACUAAAGCUCAAGAGUAAAUUUUAUAGGACAGCAAUAAGGCCGGCGAUGCUGUAUGGCACAGAAUGUUGGGCGGUGAAGCAUCAACACGUACACAAAAUGGGUGUAGCGGAGACGAUGAUGCUUCGUUGGAUGUGUGGGCACACGAGAAAAGAUAAGAUUAGGAAUGAGGAUAUCCGAGGUAAAGUAGGAGUAGCUGAAAUUGUAGGAAAGCUGAGAGAAAAUCGGUUACGGUGGUUUGGACAUGUGCAAAGAAGGCCUAUUGACACUCCGGUUAGAAGAUGCGACUACGGGACAGAGAUUCAGGGCCGAAGGGGUAGAGGAAGACCUAGGAAAACAAUGGCGUUCUAAGAUUCAUAUAGCCGACCCCACUCAGUGACUUGGAUUUUUCAAGUCUCUAACCGAGAAGUUUUCCUCACUCAGGAAAUUAAGAGAACACUAUAUAUGUCGACCUCCAUCCUCAACGGACAAGCAGACCUGCAAAAAUGCUCAACCCUUCCUCAUAUCUGAGAGGACACUCCCAACGAAGCCUCUCGAAAUACUCAGCUUUCUUUCCCCCCCCCCCCGAUAAUAACGUUGCAAACAAGCUACACCAGAGCAAGAAUAUCUCAUAUCAUCAGGGUUAAAAGCAAGAGUAUCCUAUAUCAUGCUUUUUCCCUAUUUUUUCUUUUGGCCUUGUUCUUACCUGCAAGACAAGGAGAAAGAGAGCAAUCAGUUAGCACUUGGAAUCAAGCUUCCAGUCAGGAACUGACUGCCUGGAACCCUUUACCUGAUUACUUACCUGGCAUUGCUCUCGAGUACUCAUCUUCAACAUCUUAUGCUUCCAGAGAAGAUACCACAUCUGCCUGAAGAACAGAUAGGGCAAGUGAGAAUGAUACAAGGAAGCAUGUGGAGACAAGCGUAACAGAACACGUGCCGAUACAUCCACUACUUUGUCAACAACAAAAGUAUCCUAUAUCAGCAGGGUCGAAUGUACUUUAGAUUUGAUGGACUUGUUUUAACCCUCAAAUUCUUCAGUCGGCCUUAUACUUUGGAGGAAACCAGAAAACCCUCAAGCCCAGUUUAAGAAUAAGCCUGUGGAAAGUUACUUCUUCAAAAGCAAAAGUAUCUCAUAUCAUAUAUUCUUCUUUUUCUUCUCUUUAUCCUUCAUGCUGCCUGCAAGAUAGGGAGAAUGAGAACAAUCAGCCGGAACUCGAAAUCAAACUUCUGAUCUGGGACUGAUUGCUUGGAGCUUUGAUUGCUUACCUUGUCUGUCACCUCUUUCAGCAGAUCCCCUAGCUCGGCGACUUGGGGGACUCCUACUACAUGGUUUGUAUCGUGCUUGACCAAGCCUGAAACUACAAGUAAGCUUCAAGUGAAAUUGAUACAUUACCUUGUGCAUCUCCACCAGUUAAAGAUACCACCUCUGGAUAGAGGAAGAGUACUUCCAGAGAAGAUGCCACAUCUACCUAUGAGACAGAUAAGGCAAGUGAAGACGAUACCACACUUCGGUACUUAGAAGUUUCGUGAUUACGAGACAUUCUCCCACAAUAUUUCCUAAUGUCAUUUGUACUAAAUCAUUCACUUGUACUCACUAAAGGAGAGCUUGAACCUAUGUACUUGUGUAAACCCUUCACAAUUAAUGAGAACUCCUCUACUCCGUGGACGUAGCCAAUCUGGGUGAACCACGUACAUCUUGUGUUUGCUUUUCUGUCUCUAUCCAUUUACAUACUUAUCCACACUAAUGACCGGAGCAAUCUAGCGAAGAUCACAAACUUAAUACUUUCUGUUGUACCAAAGUCCUCAUUGAUUUUGUGCAUCAACAAUCCUUAAGUCCUUACCUUUUUGCAUUGGUAAUGGAUGAGUUAACAGGACAUAUUCAAGAUGAUAUUCCUUGGUGUAUGCUUUUCGCAAACGAUAUAGUGUUGAUAGAUGAAACUUAGGAAGGGGUAAAUGCGAAGCUUAACCUUUGGAGAAAAGUGUUAGAAUCUAAAGGUCUUCGCCUAAGCCGAUCAAGGACAGAAUAUAUAGAGUGCAAGUUCAGUGCAGACGGAGGCCAAAUGAGUUAAGGGUGAGGAUCGGAGAUCAGGAAAUACCAAAGAGCGACCGUUUUCACUACCUAGGAUCUAUCUUGCAAAAGAACGGAGAAUUAGAUGGAGAUCUCAACCAUAGAAUACAAGCUGGAUGGAUGAAGUGGAAGAGUGCAUUCGACGUGUUGUGUGACCAUCAUAGACCACUGAAGCUCAAGGGAAAAUUUUAUAGGACGGCAAUAAGGCUGACGAUGCUGUAUGGCACAAAAUGUUGGGCGGUGAAGCAUCAACACGUACACAAAAUGGGUGUAGCGGAGAUGAGGAUGCUUCAUUGGAUGUGUGGGCACACGAGAAAGGAUAAGAUUAGGAAUGAGGAUAUCCGAGGUAAAUAGGAGUAGCCGAAAUUGAAGGAAAGAUGAGAGAAAAUCGGUUACGGUGGUUUGGACAUGUGCAAAGAAGGCCUACUGACGCUCCGGUUCGAAGAUGUGACUACGGAACAGAGGUUCAGGGCCGAAGGGGUAGAGGAAGACCUAGGAAAACUUUGGAAGAGACCCUAAGAAAAGACUUAGAGUACUUGGAUCUAACGGAGGACAUAACACAAAACCGAGCGCAAUGGCGUUCUAGGAUUCAUAUAGCCGACCCCACUUAGUGGGAAAAGGCUUUGUUGUUGUUGUUGUUGUUGUUGUUGUUGUUGUUUUCUGUUUCUGGACUCAAGUGAAAUUAAAUUGUGAGUACAUAUGAAAAUGCCACAUUACAGAUUUUCUCAACACUCCCUGCCAUCAUCUUAUCAUGUAUAUUCUACUCACAUAAUCUAACCCUAAUUUUUGUCGUCUACACAAUCUGUUUUAUCACCAUCAUCAUCUUUGUGUUUUUACAGAAAAUCAAUAGACAAAAAUUACUAAAAAUAUAUGAGAAGUAAAAAAAAUGUUCGUGAAUAGCACUACCUUUUCUUUUCUCUUCUUUUCAUUUCCUCCUGACCACUACUGCUGGUCUAUAAGGCAAGACUAGAGACCACUUGUUGUCCAUCAGAUAGCAGGAAAAAAAGAAGGGACAAACUUUGGACCAAGUGGUGGCAAAGAUAAGGGGUUAGUUGGGGCCAUUACUUGUCUAGGGUUAGCCAUGCAAAACCAAAACUAGGGUUGCCAUCAAGUCAUUGCAUGUUUCUAAAUCCUCUCGAUCCAUCGAGAUGGUGCAUGCAGCUAUCCGUUUUCUAUUUCUUCAACAUUGAUGGAGUGCUAAUUAAACCAACCAUCAUGCCUUGUUGGUUGGCCAGGGCUCUCACCGCCACUGACCUUCCGUUCAUCGAUUGGCCGAGUUUCCUCCCCUUCAUACCCUAUAUAUCAUGGACUACAUUAAGGUGGCCAUGUCCCACUUGUGUUGUUCAUUCCUUUAUUUAGUGAUGUUACUUUGAGACUAGUUGCCUAAUUAUUCCACUAUCCAAACUAGCUUAUUUAUAUUAUCCAUAUUAUUAAGUAAUUUUGUCAACUAUCAUUUGGGAAAUGCUAAUUGCAUCUCCCUAACUACUUCGUGAAACAAAAAAUAUUUAUGAACAAAUAUAUCAUGAAAGAAAGAGUAUUUAUAAACUAGUAAUAAAGUUAAUUGGAGUAAUGGUUCUUGAACUGUAGUCUAAUUGGGGGUUUGGUUAUGUACUAAAAAUUUGUGAGUAUUGGACACUGAACUUAUUUUAACGUACAACAAUGGUCAUUUUGGGUAACUUUGUUAAUUCCUUUAGAAUGUAUGUUCAUAUUUUCCCCAUUACACCUUUUUUUGGAUGAAAUUUUCAACGGUGUUACUCAAAUUGAAUGUUACUCCAUAUUGAGACAAAUUCAAAUACCAACAUUUAUGAUUUUUAGUUCAAUGACUAAAGUUCCAAUUGGCCAAGGACGUUUGAGUGAGUUAUUUUGACUGCCAUGCUUUCUUUCCUUUAAAUGACAAUUAGAUUAGAGCCUUAAAGUCUUAAUUUAAUAAGAGGAGUCUUAAUUCAAUAUUUAAUAAUAUUAAUUUAAUAAAACUUAUUAAAUUUUUUUUAUGUGUGGUGAUCAAGUAGUUAUUUAAUUUAUAGGAAUGAAGAAUGAAUUUUGACUUUGGUAACAUAAGAUUUAAUUGUAGAAAAACCCUAAAACUUACUAAUUUUUUUUAGGGUGCUUUAGAUUUUGGCCCUUACAACUCAUUAUUUUUAGAUAAAAACUCAUCUAUCUUUAAAGAUCCAGUUUAAGCUCAAAUUUAAAAAUUGCAAAUAUAUGGGAACACUAUUGACCUAUUAAUACAAUUUAUUUACACUCAUGCCACUCAUACUUUAUGGUCCCUUUUCCAAAUUCCUAAAUUUAUGCCAAAUUAAAAGUAGUAGAAAAAGUGAAAUAAAAUGUAAAAAGUGUUUGCAUUAACCAUAUCCAUGUCAAACUAGAAAAGUAGUUUUUUUUUUUCGUGAUAUAUUUUGUAGCAAUUUUACCCAUAUUAAUUGGUAGAUAAAUUAGUUUGUUCCAAUUAUUUAAAAAAAAAAUACUACACCUAUAUUAUAUAUUUUGAAUCAAAUAACAUUCCUCUAACUUUUAGGUAAAUUGUUUUCUAUGUAUUGUUAUAUAUGUUAGACACAUUUUGUUGUUGUAUAAACAUGAGUGGAACAUAAUAUUG